rnacentral:rRNA from 1 species
GACGUAGGGCGCGAGCGUUGUCCGGAUUUAUUGGGCGUAAAGAGCUCGUAGGCGGCUUGUUGCGUCGACUGUGAAAACCCGCGGCUUAACCGCGGGCUUGCAGUUGAUACGGGCAGGCUAGAGUUCGGUAGGGGAGACUGGAAUUCCUGGUGUAGCGGUGAAAUGCGCAGAUAUCAGGAGGAACACCGGUGGCGAAGGCAGAUCUCUGGGCCGUAACUGACGCUGAGGAGCGAAAGCAUGGGGAGCGAACAGG